UACGUAGGGGGCUAGCGUUGUCCGGAAUCAUUGGGCGUAAAGCGCGCGUAGGCGGCUAGAUAAGUCCGGUGUGAAAGUCACAGGCUCAACCUGUGAAUGCCGCUGGAAACUGUCUGGCUAGAGUCCGGAAGGGGCGAGUGGAAUUCCUGGUGUAGCGGUGAAAUGCGUAGAUAUCUGGAGGAACACCGGUGGCGAAGGCGACAUCCUGGACCGGUAUUGACGCUGAGGCGCGAAAGCCAGGGGAGCAAACGGG
rnacentral:rRNA from 1 species